rnacentral:rRNA from 1 species
UACGAAGGGGCUAGCGUUGCUCGGAAUCACUGGGCGUAAAGCGCACGUAGGCGGCCGAUCAAGUCAGGCGUGAAAUUUCCGGGCUCAACCUGGGGGCUGCGCUUGAUACUGAUUGGCUUGAAUGCGGGAGAGGAUAGUGGAAUUCCCAGUGUAGAGGUGAAAUUCGUAGAUAUUGGGAAGAACACCGGUGGCGAAGGCGGCUAUCUGGCCCGUAAU